CAGUCAAUAAAAGCUCUGCUGACACUCAAGUGCUGCGGGAGCCCUUCUCAGGGGCCAUCUCCCACACCUACCCCUGCCCCCAGAGCAUGAAGAGGUGCCAUCGCUUGUGCCCCGAGGCAUGGGGGAGGAGAGCACCUGGUCUCUGCGCUGCUGUGCCACCACAACACGGGCAGUCUGUGGGAGGGCUGCCGAGGUCCUCGGGGCCUGGAGGUGGAGGGGUGGUGGGGGUCAGUCUGAGGUUCACCCUUGCUCUCUUCCCUAGUGUUCAGGAGAAACCUUCUCAACGUUUUUGUGUCUUCUCUGCUUCCUCGUUCAGAGGAAGAGCUCUCCUGUCUGGCUGGAAGAAUCACAAGUAACUCCUGACCGGGAGCCUUCAGGGUCAUUUCCAGGGAGAAGCUCCUGCCUGCCUGAGACACCCAGUGCACACCCUAAGACACCUAGAGGAGGAGGUCUGGGGCACUGCCGCCCGUGGGGGACCUGUGCUGGAGCAGUUUGCUCCUGGGGGAUGGACCCCAUGGUACGGAGCCAUGUUGGAGCAGUUCUUGAAGAGCUGCUGCCUGUGAAUCUGUUUGGGAAGGAUGCCAUGCCAUGGGAGGGACCCCACAUGGAGCAGGGGCAGAGAGUGACCACGAAGGAGCAGCAGAGACAAAGCGUCAGAGACAGACCGCAGCCUCCAUUCUCCGUUCCACUGUGCUGCUCAGGAAGAGGAGGCAGAAGAGGAUGGAUGGGGGGAAGGUGCUUUAAGUUUCCUUUUAGCUUCUCACUGUGCUAGUCUGCUAGUGAUAGACAAUAAAUUAUAUUAAUCUCCCUACACUGAGUCUGUUUUGUUCAUGAUGAUAAUUGGUGGUGAUCUUCCAGUCCUUAUCUAAACCCUUGAGCCGUUUCCAUUGCAUUUUUUCUCCCUUUUUUACUUUGAGGAGGGGGUAUGAGUGAAGUAGUUGUGAAGUUCAGACGCAUAGCAGGUAAAAACACCACACCUGCACUGUUCUUCAAUGCUAUUGCAGGCAACCAUGCAAUCUCAAACCUUUUUAUAUGCUGUUGUGCCAUACCGUAAUGCAUGCAGCACAUACAUUCUAUUUCAUUUCAUUUCAUUUCAUUUCAUUUCAUUUCAUUUCAUUUCAUUUCAUUUCAUUUCAUUUCAGGCUGUAUUAAAGCUCCCUCAUUGUUUCAGACACUAUGAGAUGAAAGAUUCAGAAGCACCCCAUGGAGGAGCCUUAAGAAAGACAUAUUAUUUGUAUCACCUAAGGACUAGUGCCAUCAAAACCUAAGUCAUGCCACUUGAAACUUCUGCUCAAUUCACCAGAUAUAUGACCCAAGUAUCAGGACACAUAUAUAGUAGGAAAUGUCAUGACAGCAAGAAAAAUAUGUUUGGCAAGAUGUGAAGACAAAGACAGAGUAUUUAGUGCAGCUUGGAACCAGGUAAGGCAAUUACUAUUAAGAAUUUCCUGAAGUAAAAUGUACUAACUAAGUAACUACUUUGCUAGA
rnacentral:lncRNA from 1 species